rfam:Pochonia chlamydosporia 170 chromosome 6, whole genome shotgun sequence.
AACUGGGUAGUUCAACUGGUAGAGCGUCUGGCUGCAAGUAUUACUAUAGUAUCUUUAGCAGUCAGGAGAUGCAAGUUCGAUCCCUGUCCCGGUUA